GCAUAUUGAAACACUUUUGCAAGGUGGAUAUCAUUACAUCAACAUUACAUAAUAGAUGGGGAUACAUACAAGAGGCAUACAAUGCCACACAAAUACAACAUCACAAUACAUGAGAGCAACAUCCGACUACGGAUGAAACACAAACAGAAACUCAAACGACAUCCACCCUGCUAGCCCAGGUUGCCAACCUGGAACCUAUCCCUGAUCGAAGAAGAAGCAGAAGUAGAACUCCAAACAAGCAAACAUCGCUCUCGCGUCAAGAUCAUCGCAUAACCUGUACCUGCAACUGUUGUUGUAGUAAUCUGUGAGCCACAAGGACUCAGCAAUCCCAUUACCAUGGGUAUCAAGACUAGCAAAGCUUAAAGGGAAAGGAAGGGGUAAAGUGGUGAGGUUGCAGCAGCGACUAAGCAUAUAUGGUGGCUAACAUACACAAAUAAGAGCGAGAAGAGAGCAAGCGGAACGGUCGUGAAGCUAGCAAUGAUCAAGAAGUGAUCCUGAACUCCUACUUACGUCAAACAUAACCCAGAAACCGUGUUCACUUCCCGGACUCCGCCGAAAAGAGACCAUCACGGCUACACACACGGUUGAUGCGUUUUAAUACGGAUCUGGUGUCAAGUUAUCUACAACCGGACAUUAACAAAUUACCAUCUGCCUAUAAUUGCAGGCACGGCUUUCGAAAGAUUAUACCCUGCAGGGUUGUCCCAACUUAGCCCAUGACAAGCUCUCGUGAUCAACGAAUGAUAUACCUUCUCCCAGGAAGACCCGAUCAGACUCGGAAUCCCGGUUUACAAAACAUUUCGACAAUGGUAAAACAAGACCAGCAAGACCGCCCGAUGCGCCGACAAUCCCGAUAGGAGCUGCACAUAUCUUGUUCUCAGGGCAACACCGGAUGAACACUACGUACAACUAAAACCAGACCUCGAGUUUCCCCGAGGUGGCGCUGCAAGUGGCUCUGGUUCGGACCAACACUUAGACAAGCAUUGGCCUGGGGGGCUGUAAUAAAGAUGACCCUUGGGUUAAUUACUCCCAAGGGAAAUAUAGGUGAUGGUGAGGCAAAUGGUAAAACCAAUGUUGGGCCUUGCUGGAGGAGUUUUAUUCAAAGCGAACUGUCAAGGGGGUCCCAUAAAUCACCCGACCGCGUAAGGAACGCAAAAUCCGGGAACAUAACACCGGUAUGACGGAAACUAGGGCGGCAAGAGCGGAACAAAACACCAUGCAUAAGGCCGAGCCUUCCACCCUUUACCAAAUAUAUAGAUGCAUUAAUUAAAUAAGAGAUAUUGUGAUAUCCCAACAUAAUCCUGUCCACCAUGGAGCAAUCUUCAACUUCACCUGCAACUAACAACGCUAUAAGAGGGGCUGAGCAAAGCGGUAACAUAGCCAAGCAACAGUUUGCUAGGAAGGGUGACAAAGGUUAGAGGUUCAUGGCAAUUUGGGAGGCUUGAAGAGCAAAUGAUAGGUAACGCAGCAUAGCGGUAGAACGAAGCAACUAGCAUAGCAAUGAUAGUAGUGAGAUCCAAGGUGAUGGUCAUCCUGCCUGAAAUCCCGCUAGGAAGAAGAACGAGUCCAUGAAGAAGACGAACGGGAGUAGUCGAACGAAUCCUCACAAUCGCAACAUUACUGGAACUAAGAAGCAACAUCGGAAAGAAACAAACAACAUGGUAAACAACCAUCACAUAAACAUGGCAUGAUGCACAAUCAAGUAUGAUGCAUGUCCGGUUUAAUGAGGCAUGGCAUGGCAAAGUGCAACAAACAAUACUACAAGUUAAGUGGAGCUCAAUAUGCAACGAGUUGCAUAUUGACAAAACACCACAUUGACAUAUUUAGUUUAAUCUCGUAUAAGAUACUCAACAAUAUUAAAUGUUGUUAAACAUGGCAAGGGGUGAAGCAUAAUGAAACUACCUAUCUAGGCAAGUUUAAAUGAGGCCGGAAGUAACAAACAACAAUUCCGGAAAAUCCUCAUGAGCAAUAUUCGAAUUUGGUACUGUUCUGCCCUAUACACAAUUUAGAGUUGUUAAACAUGCAAAGUGAUGCUACCAUGUUAAUCUAUGCAUUUUUCUAGCCCAUUUACAUAUAAAGAACAAUCAAAACCAAGCUACGGUCAUUUAGUUAUGAAAUAAACCAUUUUAACAUGUCAAACAUGCAUAUGAUAUGAAACAACAUUUUAUACAUUGUUGAACAUGGAUGAAAGCAGCAUAUUGUAAAACUAGAUAAAAUUCUAAGCAUUUUACAUAUAUAGUUUGUUUAGUUUGGAUGCAUGCAUAUUUAAAUAUGAGCAAAGCAAAACAAUGGCAGUUUUUGCAAUUAUGCAAUAACUGGGAAAAAUAACUAAAUGCACAGGCAGAAAGGAAAAAAAACCAUUCCCGGGAGGCUACAUGGGAUUCGAUCCCAGGGCCUCCUAGUGUUUGUGCACUGAGAUGACCAGUGGGCUACUGAUUAGAUUGUGCUUAAGAAUGGACUUGACAGGAGGUGAAACAUGAGCAGAGCUUGUUCUGGAUGAAGCAAAAAUUAGUGAAAACAAAAGGUGCGGCCGUGGGGAUUUGAUCCCUGGUCGCCCGGUUGGAAGUGCAGAGCAACGACCAGCUGGGCUGAAACGUUUUUGUGCAUUGGAGGGGUUUGGCCCUAGAUGACCCAUCCUCUUGAACUGAACUGAACUGAAGAAACACGAACAAGUAGCAAAAAUGAAAAGGAUUACAAAACAGGGGCGCCUGGGACUCGAACCCCAGACCCCUUGGAUGGAUACUGGCUGCGCUAGCCACUGGGCCAGCUAUGCGUUCCUGAUGCAAAUAGAGAUCGGCCGUAUAUAAUGACGUGCGCUUCGUGACCAGGGACUCGCCGGCGAUCGGAGCCAGCAGCAACCCUUGCUGUGGUUGCAGAGGGCCAGCGGGGGUGCGGAAACGUGCCAGGGUGCGUGGGUGUACGUGUAGUUCAUCUAUAGGUGCAGCAAGGGGCAGCCAUGGCAAGAGUUCAGAGAUCACGGCCAUGGCUGUUGGCUGGAACAGAGACAUUGCAAGGAGGGGGCGUUGGGCUUGCUUGAGCUCGCGAGUGUGUGCUGCGGAGGUGCUGAUGCAUGUGCGUGUACACGAAGAAAACGAUGACAGGAAGGAGCUGGGAGACACGGCUGCUCACCAUGAGGAUUUUGGUGACGACAGAUUGAACGAAGAGGGGACGGAGGCGGCCUGUGCGAGAGAGGAUCCAGAGCGGGGGCGAAGCGCGAGGAACCACGGCGACUACUGCAAUUACACAACAAAAUUCAGAACUCGUCGGAGCACCGAGAACACGAAGAUGGCAUGGAUCUAGCGACGACUCCGGAGGUCAAAUCGCGAUGGAAAAGACCAGGGUUGGAUUUGGGUUUACCUAGUAUACCUGUGACAUGAGGAAGCGGUCGGGAAUGGAGAAUAUCGACGGAG
rnacentral:lncRNA from 1 species